GGGGAUUUGGCACAGUGGUAGCGCGCCUGCUUUGCACUGGCUUCUAGCCUUGGUGAUUGCAUGAGGUCGUGGGUUCAAGCCCCACAAUCUCCA